GUGAGGAAUAUUGCGCAAUGGAGGCAACUCUGACGCAGCCAUGCCGCGUGCAGGAAGAAGGCGCUACGCGUUGUAAACUGCUUUUAACCGGGAAGAAACCCCAGGACGUGUCCUGGGUUGACGGUACCGGAGGAAUAAGCACCGGCUAACUUCGUGCCAGCAGCCGCGGUAAUACGAAGGGUGCAAGCGUUAUCCGGAUUCAUUGGGUUUAAAGGGUGCGUAGGCGGAGCGUUAAGUCAGUGGUGAAAUCCUGCAGCUUAACUGUAGACUUGCCAUUGAUACUGGCGCUCUUGAGUGCGCUUGAAGUGGGCGGAAUGUGUCGUGUAGCAGUGAAAUGCUUAGAUAUGGCACAGAACACCAAUUGCGAAGGCAGCUCACUAAGGCGAUACUGACGCUGAGGCACGAAAGCGUGGGGAUCGAACAGGAUUAGAAACCCGAGUAGUCC
rnacentral:rRNA from 1 species